rnacentral:rRNA from 1 species
AUACUGUGAAACUGCGAAUGGCUCAUUAAAUCAGUUAUCGUUUAUUUGAUAGUACCUUACUACACGGAUAUCUGUGGUAAUUCUAGAGUUAAUACGUGCUAAAAACCUCGACUUCGGGAGGGGUGUAUUUAUUAGACUAAAAACCAACGCCCUUCGGGGCUCCUUGGUGAUUCAUAAUAACUCAACGAAUCGCAUGGCCUUGCGCCGGCGAUGGUUCAUUCAAAUUUCUGCCCUAUCAACUUUCGAUGCUAGGGUAGUGGCCUAGCAUGGUGACAACGGGUAACGGGGGAUUAGGGUUCUAUUCCGGAGAGGGAGCCCGAGAAACGGCUACCACAUCCAAGGAAGGCAGCAGGCGCGCAAAUUACCCAAUCCCGACACGGGGAGGUAGUGACAAUAAAUACUGAUACAGGGCUCUUUCGGGUCUUGUAAUCGGAAUGAGUACGAUUUAAAUACCCUAACGAGGAACAAUUGGAGGGCAAGUCUGGUGCCAGCAGCCGCGGUAAUUCCAGCUCCAAUAGCGUAUAUUAAAGUUGUUGCAGUUAAAACGCUCGUCGUUGAACCUUGGGCCUGGACGAUCGGUCCCCCUCACCGGGAGCACUGGUUCGGCCGGGCCUUUCCUUCUGGGGAUCCGCAUGCCCUUCGCUGGGCGUGUCGGGGAACCAGGACUUUUACUUUGAAAAAAUUAGAGUGUUCAAAGCAGGCCUUUGCUCGAAUACCUUAGCAUGGAAUAAUAGAAUAGGACGUGCGGUCCUAUUUUGUUGGUUUCUAGGACCGCCGUAAUGAUUAAUAGGGUCAGUCGGGGGCAUCAGUAUUCAAUUGUCAGAGGUGAAAUUCUUAGAUUUAUUGAAGACUAACUACUGCGAAAGCAUUUGCCAAGGAUGUUUUCAUUAAUCAGUGAACGAAAGUUAGGGGAUCGAAGACGAUCAGAUACCGUCGUAGUCCUAACCAUAAACUAUGCCGACUAGGGAUCGGGGUAUACUCAUUUUUGGUACCUCGGCCCUUACGAGAAAUCAAAGUGUUUGGGUUCUGGGGGGAGUAUAGUCGCAAGGCCGAAACUUAA